AGGGGUUAAAACUAGAGUAUAUUUGCUCAGCAGGUACCAGAAGGAGUGACCCUCAGGUUUGCUCUCCCGUUAUGCUCUGUCGGCCCCUUUGCGUUUAUAGGUCUUUUGGGAUCCAACAAGAGAACUUCAGUUGAGAGAGAAGCAGGGAUACACUUCCCCAAAUGUGUUCCAGCAGUGGGAAAGCUUUGGGAAACUGCUAAAAGCAUUAUACAUUGCAUUUUUGUCUGACCAGACUUUACUUGAGUGAUCAAAUGAUAGGCCGUUAUUUUUUGUAUUUCUGAGGAAGUAAUAUUUUUGCUACUUGUAAGUGACUAUUUGUAAUUUUUACUAUUAUAGUAAGCACCUAUCCAAUCAAUCUUGAUUUUUAAAUCUCUUUUAGUCUCUUGAACAACUACAUUUACAAGAAAAAUCUGGUUUGUUUAGAAUCAUGGAAUGAUUUAGAUUGAAAGGGACUUCGAAGGUCAUCUGGUCCAACCUCCUACUCAAAGCAGACCUAACCUACUAAGAUGGGUUGUUUCCCUUUUUUUUUUUUUUUUUUUUUGGUAUUUCAAUAGCAGUAUUUUAUGGCAAUAGUUCUUGCUGAAGAGCUUGUUCUAAACCACUUUCCAUUUACUAAUUUCCCCUGUUAACUUUGCUGCUAUAAAUAUACCCUGUAGUCACCUUUGGAAUCAACAAUCCCUGUUCACAAUUUAUUCUGCUCUCGCCUCUUGCAUUGUCAAUGGCAAAGAAUAAAGAGUAACCUGAAUAUGCAGAGUAAAAUGUUGCUUUCUCCCACAUCAGAGGGUUUAUUAUCCCAUGUUCUGAAGAAUGACCAUACCUCAGUCCAGGAUUAUUGCUUGGAAGAUAAAGGAAAUGAAACCACUCUUUUACCUUAAGGUCCAAAAGAAAAUUACUUCAUUUCUGUGUAUUUCCAGAGACAAGGAGCUGCUGAUCUAUGAUUCUUCUCAACAUAUAGGAGAGCUGAGCAAAAUGUAAGAACCAAAGGCCUGGCUUUGCUCUCAGCUGUUCUGGUAUAAUCCAAACUCAGCUUCUCUGGGUUGAUGAAUUUAUUCCAGUUUUACUCUGCUGUGAACAAACCAGAAUUUAUUGUAUAGUUUGCAUGAAAGAAUUGGACCAUUUUCUUCUGUUUUCAGAUGAUGAGCUGUCUCUUAGUUGGUCUGUAGUCUCUCUUUCUCACCCUUUCCCUAAUCUAUAAUUUUAAAAAAGUGUAUUUGCAAAAGAACAAUUACAAACUCUACCUGAAAAACUGUGUUAUACAGUCUUGCAAACUCUAGUUUUUUUAAAGAGAAGCCCCCUGCAGACCAUGAAACCUGGGAAGGAUCUUGUGGAGGACUUGGGCAUGUUUAGAAAGCAUCCAGAGUAGCUAUGACAACUUCGUGUCCUGGGGCCAAGAUUGUGUCCACAUACCAAAUCUCUGACACUAUGCAAGAUCCUUAUCCAGUAUGAAGAGGAAACUGUAGAAUUAGAAUUGCCUAAAAUAACCCCUAGAGAGACUAUUGCUGGUUCUUGAGAAGAUUUUUUUUUUUUGACAUCUUAAAUACAUUUUUUUCUUAAAAUGUCUGAAACAGGAAACCUGUGAAAGAAAAAAAAUAAUGAAAUUAAUAAGGUAUCCACAACCCUGGAAAACCAGGUUCCCAGCUAGGUCUUUUUUUGUUAUUUGCUGUGAUUUCUUUAACCUUCUUUGAUCAGUUAAAUGGACUUGGAGUGUUCUACAAGUCUCUGAAAUAUAUCAAUAUAAUUUUCUUGGGUUUAUAUUUGAAAUGGGAGUGGUAUCCCAUGUGGGUUUCAGCUCCUCUAAUCUGGAUGAGCUGGGAUUAAUGCUGAGUGCAGUGAGGGAGGCUGAUCUCAGCAGAGGGAGAUGGGCAGGGUCCAAUCCAUUACCUGGUCCAGGCAGUUCAGAUGCUGACUGUAUUUUUUUGAUGUCACAUAUGGAAGUGAAGCAUUCCAACUGAUAAAAAUCUGCUUUUCCAUGCAAUGAAUAUGUUGGCUACAGCGCCUGCAGCCUGUGCUUUCUGGUAAAAGCUGAGCUCUGUGUUAAUUCUCUUAGUUAUUGAUUGGUAAUAUUAUUUCUGCUUCCUGUCUCUGCAAUGAGGUUUUUACAUCCUGCCUGUAGUUGAUCCCUUCCUGUUUCUCUGGCUAUGGAAGGGUUCUGCAAAGCAGGUUUUUAUAAAGGAAGAGAGACCUGGAAAAUGCAUUACUAAAGGUACUGAUUCAAGAAACCAGGUGCAUAAAUGAUGUUUUGGUUUCAGUAGCCAGGAUGAGGUUUUGAACACUGGCUCAGGCAGAACCAAAUUCAAACAUUUUAAUAAUGGCAUAUUAACAUAACUGCCUUAUGCAAAGUAUUUCUGGUUGCUUUUAAUGAAAGUAAACAGAAAGAGUGAUAUAUCUGGAUAAAAAGGAGCAGAUGGUAAUUUUCAUUAUUCCUCCCUUCCCCUCUCCUUUUACUUGCAUCCCAGUGAGGGAGAACUAAAAGACAAAAUCUCCUCUUUAGUGAAUUUAGAACAGAAACUGCAAAAUAGAUAUCCCAACUUAUGCCUUAACCUUUGCCCUGUGGGGUCAUGCUCUUAAAUGCUCUUCAUCUACUGGAUUAAUAGAGCCAAAGGAUUUUCGUCACUGAAAAAAAAUGUUCAGAUUUUACAUGAGUUAAAGACUGCUUUGAUUUGUGAAAACUCACUUUCAGUGUUUAAGUUCUUAUCCAGGAAAAACUCUCCACCGUGAUAAUGGUUAUCUGCAAGUCAGUUUUAACUUGGCACCCUUCGUGCUUGGCAGCAGAUUUUAGCUUUACGUAACACUGAGUUAUUAUUAUUGUACCAUAUUGCAGAUGUUAUGAAGGAAUUGAGUUUUCAAGUGUGUGUUUGGGUUUUUUUUUUUUAAGUCAGGAAAUGCUACAGAUAGGCUUUUUACAGGAGUGUGACUUUAUGCUCUACACAUCCCAUGCAUUUCAUUAUAUUUCCCUUAAAACAACAAUCAUUAGGUUAAUGCACAUAUUUAGUAAUCAAAGACAUGCAUUACACCACCUGAAUACAAGAGGAGUCACUUUAUGUGUCAAGAUCUUUUUCAUUCUCCGCAUUUAUAACGUGAUCAAUGUUAAUAUUG